rnacentral:piRNA from 1 species
UGAUAAUUCCGACAUCACUGUAGGGUGGAU